UCCUAGGCGUAGCGAGGAGGACGUGGACCAGCGAGGGUGUUCUGCUGCGUUGACGUGGUGCUCUGCUUGGCUGUGUGUCGGUGCGGCGUGUCCCCCUGCAGAGGGGUGCUGCGCGUCCGCCGUUGAAGUAGGGGAACU
rnacentral:misc_RNA from 1 species